rnacentral:rRNA from 1 species
CUCGUAGGCGGCCCGUUAAGUCGGGUGUGAAAGCCCUCGGUUCAACCGAGGAACUGCAUUCGAUACUGGCGGGCUAGAGUCUAGCAGGGGGAAGUGGAAUUCCAGGUGUAGCGGUGAAAUGCGCAGAUAUCUGGAAGAACACCGGUGGCGAAGGCGGCUUCCUGGGCUAUGACUGACGCUGAGGAGCGAAAGCUAGGGUAGCGAACAGGAUUAGAUACCCUGGUAGUCCUAGCCGUAAACGAUGAACACUAGGUGUAGGGGGCGAUCGACUCCCUCUGUGCCGAAGCUAACGCAUUAAGUGUUCCGCCUGGGGAGUACGGCCGCAAGGCUAAA